rnacentral:rRNA from 1 species
AGAGUUUGAUCCUGGCUCAGGAUGAACGCUGGCGGCGUGCUUAACACAUGCAAGUCGAACGAUUAACCCGCCCUCGGGCGGUUAUAGAGUGGCGAACGGGUGAGUAACACGUGACCAACCUGCCCCUUGCUCCGGGACAACCCAGGGAAACCUCGGCUAAUACCGGAUACUCCGCGCAGCCCGCAUGGGAGGCGCGGGAAAGCCCAGACGGCAAGGGAUGGGGUCGCGGCCCAUUAGGUAGACGGCGGGGUAACGGCCCACCGUGCCCGCGAUGGGUAGCCGGGUUGAGAGACCGAUCGGCCACAUUGGGACUGAGAUACGGCCCAGACUCCUACGGGAGGCAGCAGUGGGGAAUUUUGCGCAAUGGGGGAAACCCUGACGCAGCAACGCCGCGUGCGGGACGAAGGCCUUCGGGUUGUAAACCGCUUUCAGCAGGGAAUAUAGUGAAGGUACCUGCAGAAGAAGCUCCGGCUAACUACGUGCCAGCAGCCGCGGUAAUACGUAGGGAGCGAGCGUUAUCCGGAUUCAUUGGGCGUAAAGCGCGCGUAGGCGGCCCGUCAAGCGGGGUUUCAAAUCCAGGGGCUCAACCUCUGGCCGGACCCCGAACUGGCGGGCUCGAGUGCGGUAGAGGAAGGUGGAAUUCCCAGUGUAGCGGUGAAAUGCGCAGAUAUUGGGAAGAACACCGAUGGCGAAGGCAGCCUUCUGGGCCGCCACUGACGCUGAGGCGCGAAAGCUAGGGGAGCGAACAGGAUUAGAUACCCUGGUAGUCCUAGCCGUAAACGAUGGGCACUAGGUGUGGGGGAGCAUCUCCUCCGUGCCGCAGCCAACGCAUUAAGU